UCUGCAGCAACAACAAAAAAGGUAACUGCUGUCAGUACUUUAGUCAUCAUCUCCUCCUCUGAUACCUCCUAGGAAGUUUUGCAUUCACUUGAGACCCAGAUUUUUCUAGUCCUUUAAGAAGAUAGUGAGAGGCUUAUCCAAAUGGUUCUUCUCUACUUGUAAUUAAGUGAUUUUCCUGAAAGGAUUGUUUAAGCGCCUGUUUUGUCCUGUUCUUUCUGUAACACUGUUCUGAGUGACUUGUUUCCUCUUCAACUGACACACGUCUUGCAGCAGCACAGACUGUUUAUUAGAGACUGCCUGAAGAAUUCCACCAUAACCCAAUGAAACUUCAGAUACCUGUGAUCAAAAAUAGAGUUUUGACAGCACGGCUAUAGAAUUUUCUUAGUAAAUAACUAUGGAAGCGUGAGAAAAAAUGAGAUUAGAUCCAUGAAAGACACGAAAGUUGAACCUGGAGAGCGCGGUAAGGUAUAUCUCAAGUAUGGAAGAUGAGAAUCAUCAAGAUGGAAAGUUAUAAAAUUCUAAAGGAAAAAAGAUGGAAGAGAAAAUGGUAACGUUAAGGAUCAGCCUCUUCUGUGCAGCACUGGAGCCUGCCCUUCUCUGCCUUGCUCGCGACUCCUCGCCAGCAAAACCUCAUCGGAUAUCUUGUCAGAAGUGUCUCAUUGCAGAUACGCAAGGUUUCCCAGCAGACACACGUCAGUGUCCUACCGUGUGUCUUCCUGAUCCUCUCCACCAGAAAAUGAGCUUCCUCCUGGAUUCGCUCCUCAAUGCCCUUCUUCCCCAUUCCAAAAUCACGCAGGGUGGUGAGGGCAAAUCGUCGCAGUUGCCUCCAGGUCUCCCCAUUGCUGGUCACAAUGCCUGUCACAAGAAGGAACAACAAAGAUUCCAUGAGUAAGUAAAUUUUCUGCCCCCCAACCUCGUUCUGGAAUAGAUAUCUACCACAAUUGGGAUAUGCCCCAAACCCUAAUCUUCCUGCAGUUAUGGAGGUGACAAAUUGAUCAAUCUGAUCAAGGCACCACCGUUUAUUUCCAGAAAAAGAGAAGUGACAAUGGGCUGUCAAUAGAAAGGGACCACUGGUGCUAAAGUCAACUUGGCCACGAGCAGGUGGCUAAGACAAAUUCCCAGAUGUGCAGUGAUGCACCUUCACACAUCGUAUCAUUACUGAAAAUACCACGGGACAAGCAUUUACUUGAAUAAAUGCUCUGCUGGGGACUGUCAUGGUGAAUGAGCCCAGGGCCUAAUCUUGAGUAGGACCCUUAACUAGCACAGCCUGUAUUUGCUUGUCAGUGUUGUGUUCAGUUGAUGGCUCCUGAGCUGUAGGGACUUUGCCAGUAUUUUCAGAAAUGGAAGAAUAACAGUAAGAUCUUAGGGGCACCUUUUGGGGACGAAACUGUAGAAAGAAUAUGAAUGGUGCUGAAAAUCGAAAGGAACUCACUGAAGGCAACCUAGGACCUUAAACAGUUCUCCAGGGCUUCAACCUACUGCUAGGCCCAAGUAAUGGGUUGGGCUUUUAAUGCUUUAUUCCUAAUUUUUAUGUAGAAAUGUAGUGUAUUACCCUCCAGUCACUCCUCCACUGCCCUCACAGGUGGAUUCCUGUUCCAAUGACACGAUGAGUUCUGUAUGGCAGUGUUACCUGGGACGCACCUGUGCCCUUGAAGAGCUUUUCAAUCAGAGGCAGUAUUCCUCUCCCACUGAAGGCUUCUCCGUUAUCAAUUAGGGCUUCUUUCACAAUGUCGUAGCCAUACAGCACCACAAUCUUUUUGGGGCCUAAAUGUAUUGUGAAGAUAGGACCGUACUUUUUGCUGAGCUGCAGGAAGGAAGAACACAAGGAACAACACAUCUGGAUGUUAAUCAUGGAAAAAUUAAGUUUGCAGGUCUUUGCCUGGUGAAUAAGACCCCUACGCAAAUUUUCUGGGAACCAUUUCAUUUCUUAGCUCUUUCCCAUCCAUCUACCACCAUUCCAUCACAGUCCCCUCAGGAACCGGCUCCAAAGCCAAACUUACUCCACCUAUUCUCUCCCAGGCACUGCAAUACAGGUUCUGUUGAACAGAUGCAUGACAGUUCCCUCCGGGGGAGGGAACAGACAGCACCAUUCAUCUUCAACUCCUUUGAUUCAUCCCUUAUACUCGUGACAACCCCUCCCUGGAGAUUAUACCUACCUGGCAGGGAGCAGAGACAACAAAGCAUAGCAAGGUCCUCCCUAAAACAGUGCUCGGCGUUGUUGCCAGAGCACUGAGGGGAUGGGUACAGAAGGGAUGUGGUGAAUAUGGCAAAAGCAUCAAUACCUUGUCUAGAAAUCUGUUGUAUACUGCAGUACUGUCGUGAGGCCAGUGCAGGUCUCAACAUAGGUAUGGUAAUUCCAGUAGGCAGCGUAAUACAUCAAAAGCAAACAUUUACACAGAAGCUGUGAAUUAAGCUGAGACUGUCUGGACUGGGCUUUGUUCUACAGGCCAGGGAGACAACACAGAAAUGAAAGAGGCAGCCUUACCUCCUUAAAGCUUCCCAUCAAGUCCCACGGGUUCAGCUGAAAAACAUUUCCAAUGAUGGGGAUUGGCGUGGGACCAGGAGGCUCCUUCCCUCUUUGCGAUGUACUCUUCCAUGCAGCAAUGAGAAGGCAUGAGAUACAGACCAGCAAGAGGAUUGUGGGCAAUCCCAGGAACUCCAUGGUGGGCAGAGGAAGAGAUGUCAAGUGUCAGAAGAGUCUGAACUGGGACCUGCAAACCUGAGGAUGACUCCUGCCAGCCCCUCCAACAGGUGCGCGCAGUGGAGGGAGCUGUGGAUGCGAAAAGGGACCCAGGUCAGAGAGUAUACUGCGAGAAAGACAUCCGGCCUUCAUCAGAGAAGACCACCGGACGACCACUGAGAGAUACCACGCGUGUGUAAAGGAACUAAGUCACGGGGUGGGGCAAAACGUUAGUCAUUCUGGGGACUCGGCCCAACCUUUUCUUAAACAUCUAAUGCAUAUGUAAGCAGCUUGUUCUUUAAGUAUGUACAUUUCUUGCCAUCUGGUAUACAGGUUUGGAGGGAAUAUCGCCCCCUUCAUCCAGCAUGAGUGCUCAGCACUGAGUAAAAACACCUGCUUUAUGACUAUUCUGUGCUUAUAGUUUGAUGCCAUGUUUCACUGCCAACCAACAGCCAGCACUGGCUAAGCAGCGGCUGCCCCCUGGACAACUUCCCACAGCUUUAUGGCCAUCUGCAUGGUGUCAGAAAAUGCUAAAACAGCAACUGGCAUCAUUUAUACAGGGAAAGGGACACAGUUCUUCACAGAUCGUGAGCUGCAGAACACCAUUAGCCAGGAUGUAGCUGUUAAGUUUAUAUGCGUUCAAAAGUAAUCAAGCAAAGUCAUGGCAGAAAAAUCCAUUCAGGGUAUUCAAAAAUGCCCAGGACUCUCUGGAUGCUGGAGAGCAAUCAAAAAACAAUUCCUCCGUGGUUGCAUUGCUGCUAUUCUUGGGACCUCGUUUUCAGCCAGUGUUAGACGGGAUCCCUAUCUGACUUGACUGUUGUUGUGAUGUUGUGCAUCCAUCCUUAGGCUCCUGUGUCCUUACAUUGAGAUGUAUUACUUCACUGAAUGUUCUUAUUUCACAGAUUAGCCCGUAGGAAGCAUCACGUCUAUUCUGCUGUGAAUUACAUCUCUGCUGCUAAAAUCUUAUCGAUUUCAGGUAGGAUUCUUUUUAGCCCCUUGCAGAAAAUCACAGUGUCAACUCCUGCCUUACAAGACAGAGGCUUUGCCAUCACCAGCAGUAUUAAGGUUAAAUGUUAACUUCAUAAUUCAAUAACUUAUAAAACAUGCCUACUUGUGACCUGCUGCAAUGGCAGGACUCGAGAUAAGUAACAAACCUUGUCAUUAUUUUUCAGGUGAUUCAGGUGAUUGCAGAAAUGCCAUUUAACCAGCCAGCACAAAAGGUUUGGUUAAAUAUUUGUGUCUGAACUCCCAGGACCCAAAACACAACUCAGUUGACUCAGGACCAGGCCACUGACAUAACUGCUCUCCAGUCAUUUAGGGCGUACGACAGAUUGCUAUGUAUUGGCUCGGUCUCUGAAAGGGCAAGGAAGUUCAGGCCUUAUCACCUGUUGUGCGAUCUGUACGGUGACCUCAGCAGUAAAGCACUCUGUUGUUCCUGUUGCUGAUCAUCUUUGAAGAGAGCUUAGCUUUAAAUGAUAGUCAGGAUUAAAUGAGAAGAGGCCCUUCCCCAAGCCAGGCAGCGAAAGUCAGGAAUUGGGACAGUAAGUUGACAAGUGCAUGUGCUUUGCAAACAGCGCACAUCACAAAGACAGUUGUCAAUGGGCAAAUUCACCAACUGACAAUAUUAAAUCUCAGAAAAGUUCAGCAAUCGUUGAGUAGCAAAACCUUUGGCUACACUUUCAGAUCUCUGUUAACUACUACAAUACAGAAAAUAGAUGAAAUAUCAUAGAAUCGGUCAGGUUGGAAAAGACCUUAAAGAUCAUCGAGUGCAACCACGACCUAACCAUGCUACCUAACUCUAACAACCCUCCGCUAAAUCGUGUCCCUGAUCACCACAUCCAAUGCGACCUGCUAAAUGACUUACUCGGCCUUAUGGUUGACCUGAAUGAGGAGGUGGAGAGGCUGAGGAGCGUAAGGGAAUGUGAGAGGGAGAUUGCUUGGUGAUGCCAAACGCUAUCGGCCCCGAGAUCUUGGCAGUCAGCUGAGGCUCCACAUGGAGCGCGUCACCCCCUGCCGCCUUGCAAACAGGUGACAGAGGGGACCCAGCAGGCAGAUAGUGUUCCUGCUGCCGUGAACCCCCUGUCCUCUCCUCCCCCUAGGAACAGUGGUGAAGAAUCGAGGGAUGUGGUGCAGUGGCAAAAGUCCCCUGCUUGGCAAUGCAGGCGUGCCCUCCCAGAGAUCUCCCUGCCUCCCCAGCUGCCCCUGCGGAACAGGUGGGCAGCGAUGAUACAGGAAGAACUUCCCUGAAGACUGUGAAAAAGGACUCCAGAGCCUUGGGGUGACAGGGAUUGGCCGGCUGUCACAGCCCGAUAGUUCGUGACCUGCAUUCCACGAGGAACAAGAACUUGCAUGAACUCACUGGAUUAGGAGGUGGACAAACAAAGAUCUUCUGGCGGGACACCAGCAGCACUGGUUGGGAAGUGCAAAGUACAUUGCAACCUCAGGCUACAGCUUUUAAGGAAGAACUGCGAUUGCUUAUUUCAUCCAAGUGUGCUUGACGGCAUCUGCCAAUUAAGUGAUGGUGAAGAAAAGAAGUAUCACCGCCCUUUUUUUACAGCAUGAAGUGUUUUUCUAAGUCUGCAUCAAGUUUCCCCAAGCCCUUAGACUCAAUACCUUAACUAGAUUCAUCCUUAUGCCAUUAUGACUCAUGCCAUAAUUGACCCACCUACGCUGUACUGCUGGAAGUUUCUACUGAUACGUACAGGAAUUUUUCAGCUACUGGUGCCCUGGAUGUUUAGUCUUCAUCUAAUUCAAUGCUCCCCCUACCCGUCCGUAGUGCUGCCAUCUUACGUCAAACAGCUUUUUCCCUUCUAUCGUGCCGCAAGCAGCCAGAAGCGUACUCCAUCCGCAGUCACAGAUGUCAUGGUUUUGGCUGGGACAGAGUUAAUUUUAUUUGUAGAGGCCUCUAAGAUGCAGUACUUUGGAUUUUUGAUAGAAAUGCUGGUAAUAGCGCAUGGAUGCUUUUGUUGUUGCUGAGCAUUGCUUACACGGAAUACGUUGCUAUGCAGCGAGGGAGGCCUUUAAUUCACCUGGUGACAGAGCUGAGAGGAAGGAAGUGGAAUAACUGUAGCUCCAGCAGAAGCUAAUGCCAGUAUCGCCAUACCAUUCAGUCUCCUUGACAGGACCUGGACUCCUCUCUAUUCCUCUUUUCAUCUCAAACUCAUUGACCAUCUCCUCCCAUCUGUCUCGCUUGGAGAAAUAAACAGCAUCCCGUUCUAGCAGAUGGACCUGGGGGAGAUCAGGAAGGUCCGACACAUCAGCAGCGCACUGCUGGAGAUCAGGGUCAGACUCUGCAACCACGCUGUACGUGUGGCUGCAGAGUCCUCGUCUGAGGCAUCGCUCCUGAAGUAGACAGUCGUAGUCCUCUGUGUCAGUGCUAUCGGAGACUGCUGCAAGCGUGAUGGCCUCUGAUCUCCUUGGGAGAAAGGAGAGAAAAAGUGAUACCCGCAUCCUGCCGCUGGGGUGACCUGGCUGGCCCUGCGCCUUCAGAAAGGAACAUCUCUUCUGGACAUGUUCACGUACUGGCUAAGUUGGGUUUGUCCAGCGAAAAGUAGUAUCUUCCCACUCUGCAGAAACUGGUGAGUCUGCAGGUGAAGGAGGCAGGCGCCUGUUUUUCUACUUCUGCACAUUAUUUGUACAUAGACUGAAAAGAAACAAUAUAAACUUAUUAGGAAGCAGAGGGCAUAUCUCCAUGCCUGGGGGAAUUUGGUGAAGGCAAAUGCAGCAAAAGGUAUGGUUCUAAAACAACGCCUCUGGCAGUAAAAUAUUAGUAAACUAUUAACAUUAUUAUAUUGUUGGUGCAUGAACAACUGCCCUUCUGCUUUUCCUCCUCCCACCAGGAAUUUUGAACAAAUUUUGGGCACGUUACCUCAGAAUCCUUCAUCCAAGCGUUUGUUUAUGCUGAAUUUAUCCUGGGCUCAUUCAGUCAGGAAAAGAGGAGGCUCAGGAGAGACCGUAUCCCUCUCUACAGCUACCUGAAAGGAGGUUGUAGCGAGGUGGAGGUCAGCCCCUUCUCCCAGGUAAACAGCGACAGGAUGAGAGGUAAUGGCCUGAAGUUGCUCCAGGGAGGGGAGGUUCACGUUGGAUAUCAGGAAAAAAGUCUUCUCAGAAAGAAAGAAUGCAUUGGAACAGGCUGCCAGGGGAGAUAGCGAUGUCACCGUCCCCGAAGGUGUUCAGAAACAUGCAGAUGUGGCACUGAGGGAUGUGGUUCUGUGGGCAUGGUGGUGGUGGGCUGAUGGACUAGAUGAUCUUAUAGGUCUUUUCCAACCGUAAUGAUUCUAUGAUUUUAUGAUUCUACAAUGUACGCGUAGGCUCUAGAGAUGUGCAGGUUGGUCAGCACAGACCUCCCCCCACCUUGGGCCCGCUCCACGAAGAUCUAUACCAAAGCAUGUGGAAGUAAAGCUCAACACUUGCCGCUCUCCUCCUCUAACGCUGAACUUUGUGAGACAGCACAGCAGUGUCCGAGGGACCGUAAGCCUGCUCUACUCCAAGCAGUCAGCCAAGCAGUCGACGUGGUAAUGCGUGGCUCUGUGCUGGCCCAUUUAUCCUUCUUUCAUUGCAUGUGGUGUAGAAGACUUUUGGGUCUUGAUUAGACGCAAAGGACUGCUCUGGAUGGUUCUAACACAGCCUACCCAGUUCUUGCUGAAGUACAGGAGGAUAUUUGCAUGAAACUGUCUCCCCUUUACUCCUAGUCUCCUUUUCCCAUAUACAUUAGAUCUUUAGCAACACAACUAUUCCAGCUCAAACAUCACUCUUGGAUGUUCUCAAGCCUGUGAACCUUCCCUUGGGUAGAAGCAGCCCUUGUGGAUAUUACUAAUUACUCAUCAGUGAAACUGAACAUCCAGUUACAAGGUUGUGUAUAAAAAGAAGGAAAAUAAAAUAAAGUGAAAUAAAGUUUCAAGUGAAUAUUA